rnacentral:rRNA from 1 species
UACGUAGGGUGCAAGCGUUAAUCGGAAUUACUGGGCGUAAAGCGUGCGCAGGCGGUCUUGCAAGACAGAUGGGAAAUCCCCGGGCUCAACCUGGGAACUGCAUUUGUGACUGCAAGGCUGGAGUGCGGCAGAGGGGGAUGGAAUUCCGCGUGUAGCAGUGAAAUGCGUAGAUAUGCGGAGGAACACCGAUGGCGAAGGCAAUCCCCUGGGCCUGCACUGACGCUCAUGCACGAAAGCGUGGGGAGCAAACAGG